CAUCAAAAACCCCAGGCCGUCAUAGAGCGAAACGGGGCCCCGGGCUCAACCUGGGAACUGCAUCUGAUACUGGCAAGCUUGAGUCUCGUAGAGGGGGGUAUAAUUCCAGGUGUAGCGGUGAAAUGCGUAGAGAUCUGGAGGAAUACCGGUGGCGAAGUCGGCCACCUGGACGAAGACUGACGCUCAGGUGCGAAAGCGUGGGGAGCAAACAGGAUUAGAU
rnacentral:rRNA from 1 species